rnacentral:rRNA from 1 species
GUGGGGAAUCUUCCGCAAUGGACGAAAGUCUGACGGAGCAACGCCGCGUGAACGAUGACGGCCUUCGGGUUGUAAAGUUCUGUUAUACGGGACGAAUGGUACGUCGGCCAAUACCCGUCGUAAGUGACGGUACCGUAAGAGAAAGCCACGGCUAACUACGUGCCAGCAGCCGCGGUAAUACGUAGGUGGCAAGCGUUGUCCGGAAUUAUUGGGCGUAAAGGGCGCGCAGGCGGCGUCGUAAGUCGGUCUUAAAAGUGCGGGGCUUAACCCCGUGAGGGGACCGAAACUGCGAUGCUAGAGUAUCGGAGAGGAAAGCGGAAUUCCUAGUGUAGCGGUGAAAUGCGUAGAUAUUAGGAAGAACACCAGUGGCGAAGGCGACUUUCUGGACGAAAACUGACGCUGAGGCGCGAAAGCCAGGGGAGCGAACGGGAUUAGAAACCCGUGUAGUCC